CUUGCUCACAGAGGUGAGAGGCUGCUGUUUUUUCUGUGACUGCAUAAAAAUGAUCAGUUAUCGCUUAAAAACAGAGCCCUCAUAACACAACAUCACACUUAUGGAAACUUUGUAAUUAAUCUGUGGCUCAGUCAGUGUUUAACAUUUGCAGCUAUAUUCCAUCCAAGCGCGUGCUGUGACGCUUUCCUCAAAG